rnacentral:rRNA from 1 species
CCUACGGGAGGCAGCAGUGAGGAAUAUUGGUCAAUGGGCGAGAGCCUGAACCAGCCAAGUCGCGUGAAGGAUGACGGCCCUACGGGUUGUAAACUUCUUUUGUCAGGGAGCAAGUGGGUCCACGCGUGGGCUGAGCGAGAGGACCUGAAGAAAAAGCAGCGGCGAACUCCGUGCCAGCAGCCGCGGUAAUAAGGAGGAUGCGAGCGUUAGCCGGAUUGAUGGGGUUUAAAGGGUGCGUAGGCGGAAUAUCAAGUCAGCGGUAAAAAUUCGGGGCUCAACCCCGUCGUGCCGUUGAAACUGCUGUUCUUGUGUGGGCGACAAGUAUGCGGACUGCGUGUUGUAGCGGUGCAAUGC